GACGAACGCUGGCGGCGUGCCUAACACAUGCAAGUCGAGCGGAGAUACAAAGUAGUUUACUAUGAUGUAUCUUAGCGGCGGACGGGUGAGUAACGCGUGGGCAACCUGCCUUACAGAGGGGGAUAACAGUGCGAAAGUACUGCUAAUACCGCAUGAUAUUGUUAAAUCGCAUGGUUUGACAGUCAAAGGAGAAAUCCGCUGUAAGAUGGGCCCGCGUCUGAUUAGCUAGUUGGUGAGGUAAAGGCUUACCAAGGCGACGAUCAGUAGCCGAUCUGGGAGGAUGAACGGCCACACUGGAACUGAGACACGGUCCAGACUCCUACGGGAGGCAGCAGUGGGGAAUAUUGCACAAUGGGGGAAACCCUGAUGCAGCAACGCCGCGUGGAGGAUGAAGGUCUUCGGAUUGUAAACUCCUUUGAUGAGGGACGAAUAAAUGACGGUACCUCAAAAACAAGCCACGGCUAACUACGUGCCAGCCGCCGCGGUAAAAC
rnacentral:rRNA from 1 species